AAGUCGUAACAAGGUCUCCGUUGGUGAACCAGCGGAGGGAUCAUUACCGAGUUUACAACUCCCAAACCCCUGUGAACCUACCACUAAACAGUUGCUUCGGCGGGUGGGCGCCCUUCCCCAGGGAAAGGCGACCCGCUAGACCGCCCGCCGGAGGUACCCAAAACUCUUGUUUAACUAAAAGGCCUCUCUGAGUACUGUACUUAAAUAAGUCAAAACUUUCAACAACGGAUCUCUUGGUUCUG
rnacentral:misc_RNA from 1 species